GAUGUCUGAUCCAUUUUAAAACUGCAUUCAAAGGCUUGUAAUUUAUUACAAGCCUGGGUGUACCUCGUUCCUUUUCUGCGCUGUUAUUUACAUAAAAGGCAGAACAGCUCCAAGGAGAAUUAGAGGGUCUGAUAAUCCCAUUUUCUAAUAAAUGGUUUAUCUCAUUUUUGCAGAUGUCCAUCAUUUCUUGGUUCAUUUGAAUGGGUCUCGUCUUAGUAGGGAUAGCCUGUUCAUUGAAUCUAGUAAUGUAGGGAAGUUCUACUAAAUGCCUCUUUCUUUCCCAAAAUGCAUUAGGAAAUUCAGAACAAACUUCUUUUUCGAAAGUUUUUUGAAGAUUGGCAAUUUUACUCACCAUCUCCGGGGUUUUUAAAAUUUGUUCAAUUUUCUUUAUUUGAAUUUCUUGCUUAAGAAAACAAAUAUGUGAAGAAAGUUUGUUAAUUUUAAAAGCAGUUCUUUCUUUAAUAAGGUUACCUUCUUCUUGUGAGAGGGGCCUUAAUAAAGGGAAGAAUAGAUUUUGACUUAAUAUCGUCGUGCGAAUUCCAUCAAAAUUACUUGUGUAAGGAUGAAUUUGAUUAACAAAAGGUAUUCCAAGAAUGAUAUCUUAAGUGAUGCCUUCAGUAAUGACAAAAUCAUUGACAAGACAAAUGCCACUGUUGCAGAUAUGGGCUUUUUUCCUAUGUUUAUUACUAAAUGGAGAAGAAAGGUUAGCAAAUCCAAAAUAUUGACAGAAGGUUCCUAACCCGUAUUUGGAAGAACUUUCACUCUUAAGUUGCUUCUUAAGUUUUAGGUCUGUGCAGAGGUCUAUCCUUACGGUGGUGAUGAAACUUAUGAUGUCUCUAUAAGUUAAAAUUUCAUAAGGGAUUUUUCCUUCGAACCUAUCUUUGAUUUUGGUUCUAUCUUUGUCUGCGAAUAGGGGAGGGAGACCACUAAUGAAAUGUUCUUUCCAAAAGUCAUUGUUACAAUCAGGUCUAAUCAUAAUUUUGACUAAGAAGGUAUCUUUAUACCACCUAAAGUCUGCUAAAUCCUUGCAGGUGAGGUUGUUAAGAAUUUCAAGGCUCCUAUCUUGAAAUAACUUGGACUCUCCUAUAAAAUGUCUAGCUAUAUGAUAUAGGAGGGUAGCACAGGCGUCUUCUUUCGCAACUUGCUCAAGGGUUUCUUGUCCACUUUCACUCUUGACAAUAACGGUUUUCAUGGCCGUGGCCUCAUAGAUAAGGCUCUUAACUUCAUCUGUGAAAUAGUUUUCCCACCAAUGCUUUAUCAUACCAGUGAUCCUGAUACAAUCAUGGUGGCUGCUUCUUUGUCAGAAGCUCCUCUGAUUUUAUAAGCCGUAAUAGUGACGCCCAUUACAUGGAGUUUGUUAUAGAUUUGGUGUUCUGCCAAUCCAUCAACAUUCCGUUCAGUGAUGCCUCUACCAUCAUGGUUUGAGGUGGAGAAGUAAGGGUUUUCCUCAAACUAGACGUCUGGAGGAGAGGGUCAUUUGUAGUAGUUUUUCUUGGUAGAAAAAUGUUCAUUGGUAAGUUUUGAAAGGGAGUUCUUAUCCUUUGGGGUUCUAGAUUCGCCUUUCUCCUUUUCAGAUAGGCUAAACCUGGAGAGUUUCUCAUUGAUUUGUUCUAGGAUUUUCCCUGAAACUUUGAAGUCAUUGCUGAGAGUAGGGAAUUUCUCCUUUUAGAAUUUUGGAAUUUUAAAGAUAGGAUUGGUAGUUAGACUAGGGCCUGGAAUACUCUUCUUAGGAGUGGGUGAGCUGAAAGGAAUUUUUGUGCAUUUAGCAUCAUCUAUUUGACGGGAGAUAGUAUGAAGGACCUGAUUAGUAUAGUUGUUUUGUUCAACUAUCCGAUCCAGGUCUCUGUUGACAGGGGCUGAUAGGGGUCUAGCGUGCUUCUUCUUGAAGGGAGAAGCAUUGAGAAUUUUUUUGGAAUGGGGAAUUUUUAUUCCUUUAAGGGGAGGAGUAACUGAUUCAAUUACUUUGUUACUCUGAGUAUACCAUUUAUUAAUGAUAACUUGAAUGGAUUGAUUUUGGUUUUCCAUUCUUCCAGUGAAUUCAAACCACCUAAAGAAUUCGAUGUCGCAUCGAAGUCUUUUCAUAUCAGCUAUCCAGAGUCUGCCAAACUUUUUUUGUUGAUCCUUAGAAUAGGUACUGGUGUACCACUUUCUUUUUAACGCAUCUUUAGGAAGAUACCAGAGGACCUCAAGAGCUUUGAGGUCUGGAGUAUACUCAUCAUUAGAUUUGAUGACCUCUAAUCCUGGGUCAGUUCUAAUCUUUUGAUGAGGUAUGGUGGGGGAAGGUUCCAUGUCCGAGGCUGUAGGGCUACCUGGAUCAUAGAGAUUUUCGGAUUCUAGGGAUUGUUGAAUCCUAGUAUGUUGCUGGUAAUAUACUUUGGGAACAGGACCAGAGAAGUCAACUCCUCUAACUUUUCCCUUGUCAUUAUCAUUUUCUUCACUUCCUCACCAUCUUCAGGGUUUUUAAAAUUUAUUCAAUUUUCUUUAUUUGAAUUUCUUGCUUAAGAAAACAAAUAUGUAAAGAAAGUCUGUUAAUUUUAAAAGCAGUUCUUUCUUUAAUAAGGUUACCUUCUUCUUGUGAGAGGGGCCUUAAUA
rnacentral:lncRNA from 1 species